ensembl:lncRNA
GAACCUGCUGCCCGCUGAGGUGUUACCAGCGAAGCAGGGAAAGACUAGCGGUAGCCCUAUCAUACGGAGAAGCCGCGGGAAGAGUGCUGAUGUAGGACGGGCUAGAUCUGACCACACAGGCUUACUGACAGUGGCCCCUAAUCCUAGUGAGGGAGAUCUCAUACUGGGAUCUGACAACAGAAUUUACAGGCUCCUGAGUGGCCCUCCAGGGCCAGAGGGCCCUCCGGGAAAAACAGGAUGUGCUGGCAAAGAAGGAUACAUUGGGCUUAAAGGAGACAAGGGAUCUCAGGGUGUCAAAGGGCAGGAG